rnacentral:rRNA from 1 species
CGAGGAAUCUUGGGCAAUGGGCGAAAGCCUGACCCAGCAACGCCUCGUGAGGGAAUAAUUCCUUCGGUUCGUAAACCUCUUUUUUUAGGGAAGAAGUUCUGACGGUACCUCACGAAUAAGCCACGGCUAACUACGUGCCAGCAGCCGCGGUAAUACGUAGGUGGCGAGCGUUGUCCGGAUUUACUGGGCGUAAAGUGCUUGUAGGCGGUUCGUUAAGUCCGGUGUGAAAUCUCCCGGCUCAACUGGGAGGGGCCAUCGGAUACUGGCGGAAUAGAGGAGGGUAGAGGAAAGCAGAAUUCCCGGUGUAGCGGUGAAAUGCGUAGAUAUCGGGAGGAAUACCAGUGGCGAAGGCGGCUUUCUGGACCUGUCCUGACGCUGAGGAGCGAAAGCGUGGGGAGCAAACCGG